GGGGGCUCCGAGACCGGGAUUGAUUCGGGCUGAAAAAUCUUCCGUCUUCCUCCAAACAAGUAUUUGAAUGAUGAAGACAAUGUCAUAUUUCCUCAGUACAAAGCCAAGUUUGACCAGCUGCUUCAAACAAACAGCAGAAACUGAGACACACAGAUUGAUACUUGCACUCAUACAUUCAGAUAGCAGAAACUGGCCGGCACAGAUGGAUAACUAAACUCACUUGGAGGAAACUGACAAGAACUUUCCCACAGCAUAACCGAACAGGUAAACAUUUAUUACUACACUUCCAAGUUCACAGAGGGAUAAAUACAUUGUCAUGUACAGUUUGAUAACAAUACUCAAUCAUAACAGAUCAGAAUCUCACAGGUCCAUAUUGGGAACUACACUCUCUCAUUCACCUUGUAGAAAUUGACAGAUGCAGACUGUUAAC